rnacentral:rRNA from 1 species
AACGAGACCUUAACCUGCUAAAUAGCCAGCUUGACUUUGGUUGGGCGCCGGCUUCUUAGAGGGACUUUUGGCUCAAGCCAAUGGAAGUACGAGGCAAUAACAGGUUAACUUCACAGGCCUGUUUUCAUAUUUGGUCAGAUCUGCAUGAUUUGGCUUUGCCGCUGGUACAGAGAAUGUUGCUUUAGUAACUGAUUCUGUGG